rnacentral:rRNA from 1 species
GACGAACGCUGGCGGCGUGCUUAACACAUGCAAGUCGUGCGGAAAGGCCCCUUUUUGGGGUGCUCGAGCGGCGAACGGGUGAGUAACACGUGAGUAACCUGCCCUGCGCUUGGGGAUAACCCUCGGAAACGGGGGCUAAUACCGGAUGGUCACAUGCUGUCGCAUGGUGGUGUGUGGAAAGGAUUUCGGUUUGGCGUGGGAUGGGCUCGCGGCCUAUCAGCUUGUUGGUGGGGUGANGGCCUACCAAGGCGACGACGGGUAGCCGGCCUGAGAGGGCGACCGGCCACACUGGGACUGAGACACGGCCCAGACUCCUACGGGAGGCAGCAGUGGGGAAUAUUGGUCAAUGGACGCAAGUCUGAACCAGCCAUGCCGCGUGAAGGAUGAAGGCCCUCUGGGUUGUAAACUUCUUUAUCUGGGAAGAAAUGCCUGCUUUAUUAGUGGUUUGACGGUACCAGAGGAAUAAGCACCGGCUAACUCCGUGCCAGCAGCCG